rnacentral:rRNA from 1 species
ACGCGCGGAACCUUACCAGGUCUUGACAUACUCAUGCUAGUCUUAGAGAUAAGACGUUCCUUCGGGACAUGGGAUACAGGUGGUGCAUGGUUGUCGUCAGCUCGUGUCGUGAGAUGUUGGGUUAAGUCCCCGCAACGAGCGCAACCCCCUAUGUUUAGUUGCCAUCAUUAAGUUGGGCACUCUAGACAGACUGCCGUAGAUAAUACGGAGGAAGGUGGGGAUGACGUCAAAUCAUCAUGCCCCUUAUGAC